AAAAUACGGGAGGCAGCAGUGGGGAAUCUUCCGCAAUGGGCGAAAGCCUGACGGAGCAAUGCCGCGUGAGUGAAGAAGGCCUUCGGGUUGUAAAACUCUGUCCCUGUCGAAGAGAGAGAGUUGUAGUAACUGACAAUACUAGGACGGUAGAUGAGGAGGAAGCCCCGGCUAACUAUGUGCCAGCAGCCGCGGUAAUUUUU
rnacentral:rRNA from 1 species